UUAAUAUGAUGAUAAUUCUUAAAUGUCAGUUCUGCUACUGAGUUUUUUUGAAGACAUUCCAUUUGCUGAGUU